UACGGGGGGGGCAAGCGUUGUUCGGAAUUACUGGGCGUAAAGGGCGCGUAGGCGGCUCUUCAAGUCAGCCGUGAAAUCUCCAGGCUUAACCUGGAAGGGUCGGUUGAUACUGUCGAGCUAGAGUGCGGAAGAGGCAACUGGAAUUCCGUGUGUAGCGGUGAAAUGCGUAGAUAUACGGAGGAACACCUGCGGCGAAGGCGGGUUGCUGGGCCGACACUGACGCUGAGGCGCGAAAGCUAGGGUAGCAAACGGG
rnacentral:rRNA from 1 species